rnacentral:rRNA from 1 species
GAUGAACGCUAGCGGCAGGCCUAACACAUGCAAGUCGAGGGGUAACUAGAGUGAUAGCAAUAUUACUUUGGCUAGACCGGCGCACGGGCGCGUAACACGUAUGCAACCUACCUUAUACUGGGGAAUAACUUCGAGAAAUCGGCGCUAAUACCCCAAAACAUUGCGAAGAGGCAUCUCUUUGCAAUUAAAGCUCCGGCGUUAUAAGAUGGGCAUGCGUCCAAUUAGCUAGUUGGUGAGGUAACGGCUCACCAAGGCUACGAUUGGUAGGGGUUCUGAGAGGAUGAUCACCCACACUGGUACUGAGACACGGACCAGACUCCUACGGGAGGCAGCAGUGAGGAAUAUUGCGCAAUGGACGAAAGUCUGACGCAGCCAUGCCGCGUGCAGGAUGACGGCCCUAUGGGUUGUAAACUGCUUUUGUACGGGAAUAAACCCUUCUACGUGUAGGAGGCUGAAGGUACCGUAAGAAUAAGCACCGGCUAACUCCGUGCCAGCAGCCGCGGUAA